ACUUUGUGUAAACAGCGAGCCCCCGCAUCUUUUGCGGUCCGACAUUACUGAACUCACCUAUUGUCAGUUUUUGUGCUCACUUGUACGGUACUUACGAAAAGCCCGACACCAAGGCACACAGCAAUGCUCGGCGGUAAUGCCUCUUGUUUGAUGACUUGAACGUUUUCAUUUUCCUUUGGGAGGGUAGUGUUGACUAGCAGGUAGCGUUUCGAAAAAUCGAACAGAAUGCUCGGUGGAACGGCUGAAAUUCACGGUCCAGCACUGGCAUACAGGAAAUCAAAGUAUGAAUUUGGCACCAUAUUGUGGCAUCUUGGUGCCGAUGAACUAUAUUGAAGGGAGUUAAGGAGUCUCAUUUCGGUGGUUCCCCUUCCAAAGCAAGAAACUCAAUCACAGCGCUGCGUCCAACAAUGACAUCACUUCCAAAAUGGCUGACAGGAAGAAAGAGGACAGACUUGAAUAAAACCUCUUCAAAUAAGCCUUUAAAAACCGUGAACAUUUCAGGAAAACAAAAUCAAAUAAAAAUGAUAGGUUAACCAAAAUCGGUGACAUUACUUUUUGACUGCCCCUUGCAUAAUACAAGAAAAUAAUGCUAUAAUACAGUAAUUUGGAUGUUUUUGGGAAGGAAUGGUAGCAUCUUCAUAAUUAAGUCAAGCGUGACAACAUAAGUGUAACUGCCUGACAAAUUAUGAUGUGUGUGUGUGCGUGUUAUGUGCCCGCCACCGACUGAGUGGCAGUUGAAGUGGAUGAAGGAGGGAAAGGUGUGGCGCUUCUGGGGAUCCGUUACAUACUUUGAUGCGGGGCCACUGGAAAGGGUAGAGCGGUUUAGGGGAUUCGAACGUGAGGAGGAGGGGCCGGGCGGCAUGUCAGGGCAGGCUAUCACGACGAAGAGGAAGUCAAAAUGUGUUGAAACGAUGCAGCUGAUCUUCUUGCUGUGUGCUCGUCAUUCGCCUUGUCUCAUUUGUAGAGUGCCGGGUGGCGUGUGACACAGAUUGGAAAUGCACAGCAAAAGGUGAGAGGAGAGAGCCAAAUGCGACCCGAUAUGUGAUAUGGAAUCACGUACUAAACACAUCCCUGUGGCACAAGGCGCUGGCAAGCGUGCGGCACGAAUGGGACUGAUGUUGAUGCCAGCAGCGCGUGACGACGGGCCUGAGAUGCACGACUCGAAUACACACACACAUCGUACGACAUCCAAUUUUUUUAAAAUGGCACUGUCAAUUGUUAUUUCCAUCCCUAGCUAAAAUGUGAUAAGAUAUACACUUUAAUAUGUUGACUGUACAGUAUCUUACAAUUAAACAUUUGUGUCAGCAGA